GAACUCUGAAUGUUUUAUGAAAGCGUGUGGGUGGAGGGACCAUGGCCUGGAGCAAGCUUCAGAGAUCCUUCUUCGGGGAGAACCCCACAGCUGUGUCAAUAACAAAGGCAGUGGGAGCCCAGAAGCUAUCUUUUGGAUCUCACCCUCCAUUGCAGCAUGCUUAGCUCAAGGCAGAAGAGAAGAAUGGAAGACAAACAAUCUGAUCAGAUGUAAUGAAGGGUGCCAGAGGAACUGAAUCAUGCCCAUACGCCAGU
rnacentral:lncRNA from 1 species